rnacentral:rRNA from 1 species
AAUUUUCAACAACGGAUCUCUUGGCUCACGCAUCGAUGAAGAACGCAGCGAAAUGCGAUAAGUCAAUGUGAAUUGCAGAAUUCAGUGAAUCAUCGAAUCUUUGAACGCACCUUGCGCUCUUUGGUAUUCCGAAGAGCAUGCCUGUUUGAGUGUCA